rnacentral:rRNA from 1 species
CGGUGUUUAACUGGCGUGAUGUGGGACGUCCUACCGGUGGGCUUAGCCUCGCGAGGGGCGGCCCAACUAAUAUCCCGUCGCGGUGCUCUUUACUGAGUGUCGAGUCGGGCCGGUACGUUUACUUUGAACAAAUUAGAGUGCUUAAAGCAGGCUAUCCUCGCCUGAAUACUGCGUGCAUGGAAUAAUGGAAUAGGACCUCGGUUCUAUUUUGUUGGUUUUCGGAACCCCGAGGUAAUGAUUAAUAGGGACAGAUGGGGGCAUUCGUAUUGCGACGUUAGAGGUGAAAUUCUUGGAUCGUCGCAAGACGGACAGAAGCGAAAGCAUUUGCCAAAAAUGUUUUCAUUAAUCAAGAACGAAAGUUAGAGGUUCGAAGGCGAUCAGAUACCGCCCUAGUUCUAACCAUAAACGAUGCCAGCUAGCGAUCCGCCGAAGUUCCUCCGAUGACUCGGCGGGCAGCUUCCGGGAAACCAAAGCUUUUGGGUUCCGGGGGAAGUAUGGUUGCAAAGCUGAAACUUAAAGGAAUUGAUGGAAGGGCACCACCAGGAGUGGAGCCUGCGGCUUAAUUUGACUCAACACGGGAAACCUCACCAGGCCCAGACACCGGAAGGAUUGACAGAUUGAUAGCUCUUUCUUGAUUCGGUGGGUGGUGGUGCAUGGCCGUUCUUAGUUGGUGGAGCGAUUUGUCUGGUUAAUUCCGAUAACGAACGAGACUCUAGCCUGCUAAAUAGGCGUACCUUAUGGUAUCGCGAAGGCCCCCGGCUUCGGCCGGUGGGUUUUUACUACCAACGUACAAACAAAUCUUCUUAGAGGGACAGGCGG